rnacentral:rRNA from 1 species
AACGUAGGAGGCAAGCGUUAUCCGGAUUUACUGGGCGUAAAGCGCACGCAGGCGGCUGCGUAAGUCGGACGUGAAAGCUCCUGGCUCAACUGGGAGAGGUCGUUCGAAACUGCGCGGCUUGAGGUUGGAAGAGGAGAGCGGAAUUCCCGGUGUAGUGGUGGAAUGCGUAGAUAUCGGGAGGAACACCAGUGGCGAAAGCGGCUCUCUGGUCCACACCUGACGCUCAGGUGCGAAAGCGUGGGUAGCGAACGGGAUUAGAAACCCUUGUAGUCC